rnacentral:rRNA from 1 species
UACGUAGGUGACAAGCGUUGUCCGGAUUUAUUGGGCGUAAAGAGCGUGUAGGCGGCCAGGUAGGUCUGCUGUGAAAACUCGAGGCUCAACCUCGAGACGUCGGCGGAAACCAUCUGGCUAGAGUCCGGAAGAGGAGAGUGGAAUUCCUGGUGUAGCGGUGAAAUGCGCAGAUAUCAGGAAGAACACCCGUGGCGAAGGCGGCUCUCUGGGACGGUACUGACGCUGAGACGCGAAAGCGUGGGGAGCGAACAGG